GUGUGUGUGUUUUAAAGCCUUUUGUUCACCAGCUUCUUUCCCUAUCUUACACUGUACUCCCUAAGGACUGUGUCUAUCAUUUAACUUUCUCCAUUGAACGAUAAACUUCAGAAGGUCUGGCCAUUUUGGUUCUACGGGGUUUCUAUCUCUUGCGCUUUCCCAGAUCAUACCAUGUAUUUAAUAUGCAUUGACCCACCUGUGCACAAAAGGGACCGUCUAGUCUCAUGCUUAAAUCAGUACUAUGUCACUAUCCAUCGAUCAAUAAGUUGUGCAUUCUCGGUGACAACUGAAUGUUUUCUCUUUCAGCUGAAGUUUAAAGGAGGAGGGGAGUCGACUCCAAAACUGCACACUGGUGUAGCCCCAAAUGGAAAUACAGCGAAAGCUCGAGCGACCUCUGCCAGCGCAAACGAGUCCACCCCGGCUUCAGGAAACAAAGGAGUAUGUGGGGUUGCGGAUGACUGGCUUUGGGGCUCAUUCUUUUCACUACAGCGCCCCAGGAGCGGAAGGCAAGCCCAGGCUCCAGGGACCACGCAGUCCCGCUGGGGCUGAGAGCGUCUCCCCCAGGGUGUCCCGGACGCCCGGCAGGAAAGAGCGCCGCCGGGCCGCCGACACCUGAGCGCGCGCCCGAUGGGGCGGGCCGGGAGCCCUCUCUCCCUUCCGCCUGCGACGCGCGUUGUCGGUCGAGCCGGUGUAUGUGCGGUAAUAACAUGUCUGCCCCGCUUCCCGCCAUCAUCCCCGCCGCCCGGAAGGCCACUGCUGCGGUGAUUUUCCUUCAUGGAUUGGGAGAUACAGGGUAGGUACCAUUAUUUUUAAUAACAGUAAUGAAAUGGGGUCAUGCAACUCUACUUACAUGAUCAAAGGUUUAAUGUUAAUGAACUCUAGGAUUGUAUGAAAAAAGAUUGCUAGUGAUAUUUCUUACAGUCCAGUAAUAUGAUAGAAUCUUUUCUUUUUUAAAAACCUCCAGAAUUUCCUCUCAUCAUCGUGAAUUCGUCAUUUUUCAACUCCUGUUUCUGGAACGUAUUAAAAUUGCAAACUCCUCCUUGAGUUGCUGUGGGCAUUGGAUACCAGAGAUGGGUGGAAUGUUUGUAGAGAGUGUGCAACUGAGAGCUUUCCGGAGGAGUUAAAAUUUCAGGGCAAGUUGAGGAGAACAACUGGUUGAUUUUGAUAAGAGCAAUAAUCACAAUGUGAGGUAUACGGCAUUCUGAAUGAAAGCUUAAUUAUGCCCUUAAGAGAAAAAAUCAGUUCAAGGGUAGGGGAGGCAACUCAAAGAUUUAUUUGGCAGUUUAUCAAACAGAUUUUGUUGUGCUAACUUGAGAUGUACAAUUUAUCUUUCAGUCAGGCUUUUCCUAUAUUGUGAAGUGUGUGUUUUUAAUUUAAAUUGUGAUUAUCUGUUUGAAACUUAGGUAAAACUGUAACAAAAUUGCAGAAUUAGAGGAAAACUGAAGAGAAACAAAUUUUGAGUAGGUGGUCAAAUAAACUAUUAAAUCUUCUUUAUAAGGGUGUGUUGGGCUAGAUUAAUUCUUCAAAGUGAUUCCUGAUAUUCUUUUAUGCCCUUUAAGUAGAGGUACAUGACAACACGGAAAAGAUUGUAGGACUCUUUCUGGCAAUGAGGUAGUCCUAUGAAAAUGACAGACUUAUAUUUUACUAUUUAUUUUCCUGAACAGGUUUAGAGAAGCUCUCUUUUAUAAUCAAACCCUUCUUGAUACUGAGAGCCGGGGAGGAACUUGCUACCCUGUCACUUGCCCAAUAAAGAGAGCUUCUAGGCCUGAAGAAUCAGUCCAAGAAAAAAAACUUCAGUGUAGAAAGGUUCUCUGUGGGCCCCCAUUUUGACAUAUUCUGUAGACUGAAGUUAAGAGUGAAAAUGAACAAUGUGAGAUUAAAACUACCAAGAGCAUCCAGGACAUCUUGACCGAGAAUUAAGUUUACAUACAAAAUUAGCUGGCCAGCCCCAUGGCCGAUUGGUUAAGUUCAUGUGCUCCGCUCCGGUGACUCAGGGUUCACCGGUUCCGAUCCUGGGCGCAGACCUGCACGCUGCUCAUCAAGCCAUUCUGUGGCAGCAUCCCACAUGGAAGAAUUAGAAUGACUUACAACAAUUCAGGCGUGAGGAGGGGAGAAGUCCUAAGGCUCUGACAUUCAUACCGUGUCCCUGGUUCCAUUCUAAGCUAGGAAAUGCUAACUUUUAUGAGGUUCAUGUAGAAGAGUGAG